UACGUAGGGUCCGAGCGUUGUCCGGAUUUAUUGGGCGUAAAGAGCUCGUAGGCGGCUCAGUUAGUCGGAUGUGAAAACUCGGGGCUCAACCCCGAGACGCCAUCCGAUACUGCUGUGGCUUGAAUCUGGUAGGGGAGCACGGAAUUCCUGGUGUAGCGGUCAAAUGCGCAGAUAUCAGGAGGAACACCGGUGGCGAAGGCGGUGCUCUGGGCCAGUAUUGACGCUGAGGAGCGAAAGCGUGGGUAGCAAACAGG
rnacentral:rRNA from 1 species